rnacentral:lncRNA from 1 species
AUAUCUAGCCAAACUGGGCCAAGGAAAAGAAGAAAUUUUCUACCUCAAUCAGCACUUGUUUACCGAGCAUUUUCCACAAGGGAGACCAUUAGGUGUAAGAACAGCCCAUAAGGUAGGAAUGUAAGUAGCUCAGGGUAAAGUGCUUGCCUGACGUGUGAGACCCUGGGUUCAAAUGUCCAGCACUGUAGAAAACACCCUUGAAAGCCCGGGCAGUGAUGGCACCCACUUUUAAUCCCAGCAAUUGGAAGGCAGAAGCAGAUGGAGCUCUGAUUUUGAGGCCAGCCUGGUCUACAGAGCAAGUUCCAGGACAGUAAAGACUACACAGAGAAACCAUGUCUAAAUUUGUGAUAAUCUUAAUGCCCCAGCCUCCCGAGUACUGGAUUACAGACAUGUGCCAAUAAACCAGGUCUUCUUCUUGUAUUCUGAUUGAGGUUUAAUGAAAUAUGAUAGUGAAAUAAAAAAAAAAAUUACAUAGUACAGACAACAUUCGCUUGACUCCAAAGCAUACAUUCUUCUUAACUAUGGUACACAGAAUUGUCCAUCAGAAUGUAAAGGCAGAUGGCCAUCAAAAAUGGAAUGUAGAGUAGCUUCCAGAAGGACAACAUAAGGGUUCAAAGUUGGGAAUGUCGGUGCAGCAGAUUAAAGUAACAACAUGAUAAAGAUAGUAGUACAAGACUUCUCUGCCAGAUUUCCUCAUGAAGGGCUGAGGCAAGCUUUGUCAACUGUAGGGUGACUCUUACAUGGGCCUUCUAAGGAUUUGCAAAGAACUAGUGUGGAUUUACAAGUCUAUAAGUUGAGUUCCAGCCCAUCAGGGCUACCUACUAAUGUUAUGCCCAGAAGUGUUCAUGAACCCCAAAAGACCACAAAUCACAUUAGGGUCUCUUUAUUACAAGCUCAGGCUUGGGCUCUCCUCCAACCCAACCCUGACACAGUAGGAUGGGAAGGGGGUAUCCAGCCUGGCAGGCAUCUAAUAGAAUAACUAUUGUAAGCUGACAGGUGGGUGUCCUGAAACAAAACUGUGAACAAUCACCAACUGCCUGAAAGUACAUCUCAGACAAUCAGACUAAUCUUUGAUUAGCUGUUGCUAGGAAAUAGCUAGGGAGUAACCCUGGGAUAUGGACGAAGGACAAGCCAUGGGGUCCUUUCUGGAACUUGGGAACUUGGAUUCUGCUGCAGUUCAAGUUCUCAGGUUUUUGGUUUUUUUUUGUUUUGUUUUUUUUUUUUAAGAUGGAGGCUGGUCUAAGAUGGAGGCUGGUCCCAAGAUGGAAUAGGUUUGGUCUCUUAUUAAGACCACAAAAACAAACAAAUAAACACACAAAAAACCAAAUGC